rnacentral:rRNA from 1 species
AGUGAACGCUGGCGGUAGGCCUAACACAUGCAAGUCGAACGGCAGCACAGUAAGAGCUUGCUCUUACGGGUGGCGCGUGGCGGACGGGUGAGGAAUACAUCGGAAUCUACUUUUUCGUGGGGGAUAACGUAGGGAAACUUACGCUAAUACCGCAUACGACCUACGGGUGAAAGCAGGGGAUCUUCGGACCUUGCGCGAUUGAAUGAGCCGAUGUCGGAUUAGCUAGUUGGCGGGGUAAAGGCCCACCAAGGCGACGAUCCGUAGCUGGUCUGAGAGGAUGAUCAGCCACACUGGAACUGAGACACGGUCCAGACUCCUACGGGAGGCAGCAGUGGGGAAUAUUGGACAAAGGGCGCAAGCCUGAUCCAGCCAUACCGCGUGAGUGAAGAAGGCCUUCGGGUUGUAAAGCCCUUUUGUUGGGAAAGAAAAGCAGCAGGUUAAUACCCCGCUGUUCUGACGGUACCCAAAGAAUAAGCACCGGCUAACUUCGUG